rnacentral:lncRNA from 1 species
UAUAUAACAUCAUCAAUAUAGCUUUAUUAUCUCAUCAUGGAUGGACAAGAACAACAUUGAAUUACAUUUGUACCUUCGGCUUGAUAGAAGGCAAAAGUCCAAGCGUGACGCACGAGCGAAUACAAGUCAGCAUGAACAGUACGAGGGUAUUGUUCAUCUAUUUAUACGCAUAGGGCACAACCUGUAUAAAAUUGCAUUCAUGCUCUUCAUGUUUACAAUUGACUUAAGGACAAUCUAUCGAGGACUAAAUAGCCUUUUCCUUUUUAGGUCGGUUCCUUUUUCUGCUACUGAGCCGAAGCUUCCUUGCGCAUAGCUUCAGAAUUGAUUCGACCUUCGUCCCAAUCAUGCUUUCCAUAUUAUGGACAGCUUCGUUCCAAGUCCGAAGGUUCCUGUACAUAUAUUUCACUUGGAAAACAUUGUUAAUCAUGUUUUUGAGGACCUUCGGAAGACGAAGGCCCCAAACACUUUCCUAAUUAGUUAGACAAGGGCGUUCCAUUCCACCCUUGUGGUGGCACGUGUUUCUCAAGUUAAGCUCCAUGUUCUAAUUAACAUUUAAUGAUCUUGACAUGAACAUAAGUAAAAUAACAGAAUAAUUGGAACAUGGAUAUAAUGAAAUAUUAACCCAAGACCAUAUAAUGCAAUAGCAUAACUACCCAAGUGAAUCAGGGGUAAACAAGGUAAACAGGAUAAACAGACUAGGGUGACCUAUUGGGUCCCAUCAAAAUUAAACCUAUGCAUUGAAUAAUGAUAAUAAAGAAUAUUAUUGGGUACAAAAGUGAUCAAGGGCACAACUUGCGUGUCACUUGAGAUUCCAGUUACCAGGGUGAUACUUCAGAUCCUCGUGUCCACACUGCUAGUCGUAGCAAUACAAACAAACAUGGUAACAUCACACCAAACAUAGGAACAAACUGAAUAAGAAUGAUCUACGCGUUGCAACAAGAUCGUGGGAACGAGAACUACUAAAAUCAGAGUUACGGUUAAGGAGUUAUGAUUUCAUGGAGGAUUUAUGUGAUUAAACUGUUAAACUAUUUUAUAAAUUGGUUAAUAUAAAUUAUAUAAGAGGUUAUUCUAUAAAUAAUUAUCUCAACUUUAAUCUAAGUUAUAAAUUGACCAUAGAUCAUAUUCUAGUAGAUUAUAAUGGUAAGUAGAUUAACAAGACUAACCUACAUAAGUUAAAUAUAAAAACCUAAUUAUAAAAGAAUGAGACAUGGUAUAAUAAGUGUUGUUACUGCGUAGUAAAUACUCGUACGAGACUAACACAACUUGAAUGGAUCAAAUCGGAGUUAUAGAUUUUAAGUUAUGAACUUCUAAAGAUUUUAUGUGUUUUGUACAAGAUUAAAUAGGAUAUAAAUCUUUAGUGUGACUUUCAUGUCAAAACAGAGACACUAGGUAUAUUAUAAAAUUAUAGAAAUUGAAAUGACUCAAUUUGGAAUUAGUAUGAAUUUUCUAUGAUUUAUACAAGUUCUAGCAAUUAUUUUUGUAUUAAAAUCAAUUUCUAAAUUAAAUAACUGAAUUCUCAGAGUUGUGGACUGGGCGCAUGAAUUCUGGAAAGCGCAGGGGCUCACGCGUAAGUUUCCAGAGACUCAGACUACUCCCGCAGUAGACCGUGGGUUGAUUCAAGUGUUUGUCAGGGUCCUAUUGGUUAAAUUGUGUGGUCGAAGGGGUAUGAAUAGAUCUCGUCCAUUGGAUCAGGGUUGGACGCGCGGGAUUAAAUCAAGGCCCUACCGAACCGGUACAUAAUAACAAACGUCAGAUUCGACAUGGAUGGCCCAGAUUUAAUUAUUGAUUCACCCACUCCUGACCGCCUGAUCUCGAUCUACGGCGCAGAUGCCUCUCCAAUCAUAGCUGCAUGAUCCCGGCCGGACGAUGCAGAUAUAAUCCCCGAACUAGUACGAGAGAUGUGAUCACAACCGUUUGGUUUCUAAUCUACGACCCACAAUGCUUCACCUACCCGCGACCCCAAGCGGUGGUGUUGGCCUUCCCGCGGCGGCGCUCCCGCCGGAGAACGGCAACCCGGCACGCCAAUGCCCCAAACUACACCGCCAACCGAGCAACACGAUGCUCGCAACACUACGAUCCUAUCGGAUGGCUCUUUACCUGGGAUAUGUCGCGACGACCUCGACUUCUCGGAGCCGCGCAGUCCACGGCGGCGCUAGCAUCCGGCGAGCAAUAAGCAGGGUUCCCAGAGACGACUUGCCCGGAUACUUCUUGACCCCAUCCAGUAGACCUCCGCGACCCCGAUGAUCCACCCCGAGGUCUGGUUCUUGGUGUCUAUGCUUGACGGCAGCCGCGACGGAUCCACACAUCAAGCGGCGAAUUUCUUAAACGAUGGCAUCCAUGGUUUUGAUGAGAUGCGCCCCUACGUCACCUAUAUACUCUGUGAAGGAGUCCGAACACUUGCAGAAUAGAAGAACAGAUCCUACAAUCUCGCGAUGACCCCAACGGCUUGCGACGGAGCGGCGAGAUCGGAACCAGAGACCCACGGACGGUGAGUUUGGCAUCUCUGUAAUGGAGCUAGGGCGGGGAAAGUGUCUGACUGGCGUGUGGGCCUGGUCUUUAAGGUCAGCAGGCCGCGCCAUGCGCGGAGGCCGUUGGGCGCGGAUUCAAUGGUGGCGACCCACGGCGUUCAGUUGAGACGGGGUGGAGCGCGGCCGAGAUUCUAGGCGGCCACAUCAGCCCAACGCACCGAACACGAGAGGAAGACGAUCCUGAUGGGAGGGCCCCACACGUAAGUGAUUCUGUAUGUGAAGAGGGAAGGGAAAGAGGGAUGGGCCGGCCAGAAGCAAGUGGGCCGAAAUGGAGCAGAAGCGGCCCAGGCGCACAAUUUCUCUUUUUCCUUUUUCUUUUUAUUUUCUUUUUUUCCUAUUUCUUUCAUUUGCAGUUUAAAAUCCAAAAUUUUGAAUUCAAAUUUCGUAGGAGAAUUUAUACUCAUUUAAGUAUUCAGUUUGAACAUAUCGGUGGGUUGAAUCUAUAUAUUUAUAAAUUUUAUCUUGUCUUUUAUAGUAUUUCUCUCUUGAAUUCCAAAUCCAAUUUUAGGUUUUAAUCCAAAUCUUCAUCUCUUUAUUGUAUUCCCCUAUUGUUCCUUUUUGACCUUACAAAAUUUCAAUCCCAAUCUACGAUAUAGUUUAAUAAUUCAAAUUUAAUACCCACUACAAUCAUUCAUGAUAUAGUAGAAUCUAUUUAUUUUAAUUGAUUUAUUUGUUUGAUAAAUGUUUGAAAUGUGAGGCACACUCAUAUUGUUUCUUUCUUUUUAGAAAAAAAUAGUAUUUUGAAUGUGGGAUAAGAAGUAAAAGUUACUUUGAAAUUAAAUAUUCAUGUAAAUAAACGCUUAUGGUGCAUCAUUUAAUAAUAUGCAUAAUCAUUUAGUUGAAUAUAAAACUUUUCUAUUACUUCUUUUCUAAAAUAGUUUUUGGUUUUCAAAGUUCAGUCUUCAAAUUUCAACACUCAAGUAUAAUUCGAGAUAUCUAAAUUUACUAUUCCAUUUUUUCAUAUAUUUAUUUUAUUAUUAUUAUUAUUUUCUUAUACUAAUUUUGGGCCUUACAAAUCCUACCCCCUUAACAAAAAUAUCGUCCUCGAGAUUUGUAAGAACAGGGUAUAUAACCAAGUUAUCUCAAAACAUAUGCACAAACAAAAAUCUCAGCAUGAUGCAUAAUUUAUUAGCAACACAUGGGGUCAACUAGACCUUAUUAUUCAUCCUGAACUAAUCUCAUACCCUUUACUAACUAAAGUAACAUUUAGAUUUUACAAAUAGUAGUAUAUAUAUUUAUGUAGCUUGGUGGAGCUGGUGGUGGUGGUGGAGGUAGUGGAAAAUUGGGAGAGCAUAGGUAUCCAGCUACUAUUUAUGUAGGAUAUAAACUGAACAGGUUGAGGUAAGAAAGAUUAUGGCAAGGAAAAGACUUUAUCCAAAAUGUUUAAGUCAUGAUUCAUCUCGAGAUUCGUUUUGACUGAUAUAUCCUUCCUUGUUGAUGUUGAUCUUUUCUUCUCCGGUCUUGAUCUCAUUGAUUCGAAGUUAGUGUAUAUCAUCGGGGUUGGUAGAAUAUGGUUAAGAUAGAUAUGGAUGAGAUGGACUACAUGAUGUAGGUCAAAAGUUUGUUUGAUGUUAGGUGGGAAUAGACAGAUUAUGCAAUCCAUCAUGACUCUAUUGGUUGGAUCAGAUCUCCUGCAUGUGGCCGAGUUGGUUUAAGGCACUAGUUUAGUUUUAAGUGCAUGUGGGGUAUGUCCUUAUCUUUUGUACCUGCAUUAAGUAACUUACUCUAGAUUAGAUCAUAAUGGAUUGGAUGAAAUCUAGAUUAGACUAGAUAAGAUUUACUUAAUUUAUUUUAGAAUAGAUCAUGUUUGUUACCAGGUUAUGAGGUAAGCCAAGUGGUGGGGAUAAGUAUGCUUAUUAGGACAAGAUGAGUCUCUAAGAAUAAGACAGAAUAUUUUGAGGUUAGUUGGAUCCAUUAGGGUAAGAGAAUAUCUUUUGAGAUAAGAUGAAUCUAUUAAGGUAAGAGAAUAUCUUUUAAAAUAAGAUGGAUCUAUUUAGAUAAGAGAGAAUCUUGUAAGAUGAGAUGGACCUAUUAAGAUAAGAGAGAAUUUUCCAAGAUAAGAUGGAUCUAUUUGAUAUCUUCUAGUGGGGGUACUUUUAGUCAGUCUAGUUUAUUUUAUAAACAAUUUAAUAGGAUAAAAUAUUUUUUUACACAAGAUGAACCCAUUAGGAUAAGAUAGAUUACUUUAAGUUAAGAGGGAUCCAUUAAAAUAAGAAAGAAUCUUUUAAGGUAAGAAGGAUCCAUUUAAAAUAGAUACACUUUAAUGGAGGAUAAUCUAAGUUAUUUAGUUAUCUCAUGAAUUUUAUUUAUUUAUAUCUAUACGUAUAUGUAGAUGUAAUUAUGGACAUUACUCCACGACUUAUCACACUCAAUCAAAGAUCCAAAUCAGACAAAUAUCAUAAGAACAAACACUCAAGCGUAUAUAUACCUAUAAAAAUAGUUUUAUUUUUGUUUCUACGAGUAGGUCUCCUAUUCCUAAAGGUACUUUAGGCACAUGAUUUCAAAGUGUGAAAUCCACAUUGGUCUUUAGAAGGAAAAGGUAAGAAUAAUCAGAGUAAAGCGGAAAUAUAUAAAAUAAAGAUUAAGAUAAGUUUAGAAAAGAAUCAGAGUAGCAAAGGUAAAGUUAAUCAGAGUAGAACAGUAGAAGGUGAGACAGGAUCAAGAAAAGUAUAGAAAGAAUCAGAGUAAGAUAAGUAGGUAAUGGUUGUGUCCAUUUCUAUCUAGGUUUCGUCCUACAGUCAAUAUUCCUCUGAUACCACUUCUGUCACACCCGAUUUUAAGGGACAAAGCCAGGUGCAUCUCAUACAUGCGCCAAAUAAGACAACAUAUAUAAUAACAGAUUCUAUAGAGAUAAAUGUCACAAUAAUCAGAGUAUUUAUUACAUAGUGGAAGACUUACAAAAUAAAUUAUAAAUAUAAACCGAACUAAGGAUCAUCCUUAGCGCAAGUCAACUGGGAGACUCCACCUAGAUCGAAUCGAACUCCUCGUUGCGUGGCUCCUCUUGAACCACCUGAUCUUCUCCUAUGGGGGGUGUGAGACAGCAAGGGUGAGCUCACACAUGUUCAUCGAUCAACAAGUUGUGGCGAAUAAUGUGGCAUGAACUCACCAAAGGUGGGAGUUCAUGUGAUGUGUAAGGCUGAUCAACAAUAGGGAUUAAAGCUGAGCAUUUCUUUUAAUAAGUUGGUCAAAAUUUUAUUAGCAAUUACUAGAUGUAAGUAAAUACCAAACCAUAAUAAAUAAUAAUAGAACAAAUUUAACAAAUGAUCCCAUGCAAUGCAUAUGACAAAUUAAAUUUAAGUUCCAUAAUUUAAUCAUGCGAGAGUCCUAAGCUGCUCAUGACCGUGAGCUCGACUAGUAUACCAGUCUUACACUCUGCAGAGUUUGUACCCUGUACCCACAAGUCGUGUAUCCCAUGUCGCCACGGUUUGCAUGGCCCUUAGACACUACCGAGGUGAAUGGCUAGUGAUCCACUACGAGGCCUUUACAAAGUUCCACUAGCUUCCGAAAACCCGCUACAGUUUAUGGGAAGAGCACUUGCAAGAAUCCCUCGGCUGACCGCCUUCGCAGCAAAAUCAACCCGAGAACCUCCCUACAUGCAACUCCCCUACUGCCCUUGCUCCUUUCGGGUAAGGUAGUCUUCCACUAGCUUUCCUUAUUAGUCAGCCAAGGGCGUCCCAUUCCACCCUUAUGGUGGCACGUGUUUCUCAAGUUAAGCUCCAUGUUCCAAUUAACAUUUAAUGAUCUUGACAUGAACAUAAGUAAAAUAACAGAAUAAUUGGAACAUGGAUAUAAUGAAAUAUUAACCCAAGACCAUAUAAUGCAAUAGCAUAACUACCCAAGUGAAUCAGGGGUAAACAAGGUAAACAGGAUAAACAGACUAGGGUGACCUAUUAGGUCCCAUCAAAAUUAAACCUAUGCAUUGAAUAAUGAUAAUAAAGAAUAUUAUUGGGUAACAAAAGUGAUCAAGGGCACGACUUGCCUGGCACUUGAGAUUCCAAUUACUAGGGUGAUACUUCAGAUCCUCGUGUUCACACUGCUAGUCGUAGCAAUACAUACAAACAUGGUAUAGACAAAAUUAACAUCACACCAAACAUAGGAACAAACUGAAUAAUAAUGAUCUACGCAUUGCUACAAGAUCGUGAAAACGAGAACUACUAAAAUCAGAGUUACGGUUAAGGAGUUAUGAUUUCAUGGAGGAUUUAUGUGAUUAAACUGUUAAACUAUUUUAUAAAUUGGUUAAUAUAAAUCAUAUAAGAGGUUAUUCUAUAAAUAAUUAUCUCAACUUUAAUCUAAGUUAUAAAUUGACCAUAGAUCAUAUUCUAGUAGAUUAUAAUGUUAAGUAGAUUAACAAGACUAACCAACAUAAGUUAAAUGUAAAAACCUAAUUAUAAAAGAAUGAGACAUGGUAUAAUAAGUGUUGUUACUGCGUAGUAAAUACUCGUACGAGACUAACGCAACUUGAAUGGAUCAAAUCAGAGUUAUAGAUUUUAAGUUAUGAACUUCUAAAGAGUUUAUGUGUUUUGUACAAGAUUAAAUAGGAUAUAAAUAUUUAGUGUGACUUUCAUGUCAAACCAGAGACGCUAGCUGAUAAACAAUAAUAUUAUAAAAUUAUAUAAAUUGGAAUGACUCAAUUUGGAAUUGGUAUGAAUUUUCUAUGAUUUAUACAAGUUCUAGCAAUUAUUUUUUAUUAAAAUCAAUUUCUAAAUUAAAUAACUGAAUUCUCAGAGCUGUGGACUGGGCGCAUGAAUUCUGGAAAGCGCAGGGACUCACACGUAAGUUUUCAGAGACUCAGACUACUCCCGCAGUGGAGCACGGGUUGAUUCAAGUGUUUGUCAGGGUCCUAUUGGUUAAAUUGUGUGGCCGAAGGGGUAUGAAUAGAUCUCGUCCAUUGGAUCAGGGUUGGACACACGGGAUUAAAUCAAGGCCCUACCGAACCGGUACAUAAUUACAGACGUCAGAUUCGACUUGGAUGGCCCAGAUUGAAUUAUUGAUUCACCCACUCCUGACCGCCUGAUCCCGAUCUACGGCGCAGAUGCUAUACGGCGAAGAGGUAUUGCCUCUCCAAUCAUAGCCGCAGGAUCCCGGCCGGACGGUGCAGAUAUAAUCCCCGAACUAGUACGAGAGAUUUGAUCACAACCGUUUGGUUUCUAAUCUAAAACCCACAAUGCUUCUCCUACCCGCGACCCCAGGCGGUGGUGUUGGCUUUCCCGCUGCGGCGCUCCCGCCGGAGAACGGCAACCCGGCACGCCAAUGCCCCAAACUACACCGCCAACCGAGCCACACGAUGCUCGCAACACUACGAUCCUAUCGGAUGGCUCUUUACCUGGGAUAUGUCGCGACGACCUCGACUUCUC